AUUGAACGCUGGCGGCAGGCCUAACACAUGCAAGUCGGACGGUAGCACAGAGAGCUUGCUCUUGGGUGACGAGUGGCGGACGGGUGAGUAAUGUCUGGGGAUCUGCCCGAUAGAGGGGGAUAACCACUGGAAACGGUGGCUAAUACCGCAUAACGUCGCAAGACCAAAGAGGGGGACCUUCGGGCCUCUCACUAUCGGAUGAACCCAGAUGGGAUUAGCUAGUAGGCGGGGUAAUGGCCCACCUAGGCGACGGUCCCUAGCUGGUCUGAGAGGAUGAACAGCCACACUGGAACUGAGACACGGUCCAGACUCCUACGGGAGGCAGCAGUGGGGAAUAGUGCACAAUGGGCGCAAGCCUGAUGCAGCCAUGCCGCGUGUAUGAAGAAGGCCUUCGGGUUGUAAAGUACUUUCAGCGGGGAGGAAGGCGGUGAGGUUAAUAACCUCACCGAUUGACGUUACCCGCAGAAGAAGCACCGGCUAACUCCGUGCCAGCCGCCGCCGUAA
rnacentral:rRNA from 1 species